rnacentral:rRNA from 1 species
UGGGGGAUAUUGCACAAUGGGCGAAAGCCUGAUGCAGCGACGCCGCGUGGGGGAUGAAGUCUUUCGGGUUGUAAACCUCUUUCGCUAUCGAACAAGGCCCGCUUAGGGUGGGUUGAGGGUAGGUGGAGAAGAAGCGCCGGCUAACUACGUGCCAGCAGCCGCGGUAAUACGUAGGGCGCGAGCGUUGUCCGGAAUUAUUGGGCGUAAAGGGCUUGUCGGCGGCUUGUUGCGUCUGCUGUGAAAACGCGGGGCUUAACUUCGCGCGUGCAGUGGGUACGGGCAGGCUUGAGUGUGGUAGGGGUGACUGGAAUUCCAGGUGUAGCGGUGGAAUGCGCAGAUAUCUGGGGGAACACCGAUGGCGAAGGCAGGUCACUGGGCCAUUACUGACGCUGAGGAGCGAAAGCAUGGGUAGCGAACAGG